AUGAGCCAUUCGGAGUUUCACAGUCUGAAUUUGUUCAUACUUACACAUGCAUGGCUUAAUCUUUGAGACAAGCAUAUGACUACUGGCAGGAUCAACCAGGUAGCAUUCCUCCGCGACGUCGGCACUGCAUGGCCCUCAACAUGCCCCGUGAGCUACGAAGAGGUCAUAACAGAGCACGAGCAUCGUCCGUGUCAAGAGACAAAAUGCAUAGGCAUCGAGAGAUGAGGGCCUGAAUGCUACUCUCAAAAAUAUUCUCCGCAUCUGAAAGCACGAUCGAGCACCAGUGCACCGACGAGGCCACGCCGAUUUAUGGGGGCGCACUCGGGACACAAGGCACGAUUGAGGUCCACCACGCACCCUGAAGGGCACGGGAUGGAGAAGGGACGGCAACACAUCCAUAAUUCCUUCUGGCUUAGGUACGCAGCACAGGAUCCCGAUCGCACCCCUUGAGUUCGAUUACAACAAGGGGAGUUAAUGAAGAGGAGUGCGGCUCGACAGUUCGAUGCGAGUAGCAUGGACCCUGCCAAUACACACAACCAAAACACCACUCAUAUGCCUAUUGCGUACUAGUAGUAGCGCCCACGCACGCCGUCCAACAGCCCACCCAACCGAAUGGUAGGGGAGCGGAAGGAACAACGAACGAGGGCGCACCACAACCGCUUGGCACGAGAACUACGAAGGGAAAAGUCCCAUCGGGACUUGGUCAAGCCAAGACCGAGCCUACAAACUCAACUUACACCCCCCAGUGGGCCGUUGCCGUUAAAGGGACUUGUUACUAGGGUCGCGGGCAGUUUCGAAUGCGGGCAAGGGCUUGGCAAGGCCAAGGCACCGUGUGGUCUCCGACUUGGGAUGCACAAGGCGUCCCUAAAUGUGACGGGGGCGAAAGGGCAAGCCAAGCUCGAGCCCAUAGCAAUGCAUAAGCCACCCCAAGAGAUCUUUGCCCGAAUAGGGAACUUGGUCCUAGAGUCGUUGGCUACAUUUCUAUGGGCACGGGCUUGACCGGCCGGAAAAUUGUCACCCCGGCCACCACCGCCGGCGACCGACUCACCCCCGUGGUGAGUCGUUGCGGGACGACCCGACCCCCAUGGGGGGGCUAGACGCACCCCACCUCGGCUCGGAGGGGGAGGCACGCCGGGGGCAGCGGAUCUCUACCCCUUAAAGAGCUAAAAAAACUUCGUCAAUAUGCUACCAGGAAACAUUCGACUGUCUGAAAUGGGGACACUCCUCUUUAGCCCGCACAUCCCAGGCACCAAGGUGCCGAUGGGUGCCCGAGGCUCCCGCACAUCCGAGCCACCAAGGUGCCGAUGGUGCCCGAGGCUCCCGCACGACCAAGGGCCGAGGUGCCGAUGGUGGCCGAGGCCCCUGCAUGACCAAUGGCCUAUUUUGCCGAUGGUGCCCGAGGCUCCCGUACGACCAAGGGUUUAGUUUGCCGUUGGUGCCCGAGCCUCUCGCACGACCAAGGGCCUAGGUUACUGAUGGUGCCCGAGGUUCCCGCACAUCCAAGCACUAAGGUGCCGAUGGUGCUCGAGGCUCCCGCACGACCAAGGGCCUAGGUUGCCGAUAGUGCCCGAGGCUCCCGCUCAUCAUAGCACCGAGGUGCCGAUGGUGCCUGAGGCUCCCGCACGACCAAGGGCCUAGUGUCACGGACUUAAGAUUUUUGCCUCACAAUCCGUGCGGCCUUAGGCAGUUUCUUGCUUCAAAAAUGCCUAAGUCAGCCUAACUCCCACGAUUUGAGGAUUCAAUAGAAUUCCCCUUUGAAAACCAACACAAACAAAAGUGACUCAAAUAUCAAACAAAGGCGAACGAAGAACGAAAUAAGAACAAGCCACGAAUAUCAAGAACACAAGAGAGAAUAAUGUUUGAGUGAAUACUCUCAAGAACUCUGAUUAUUCCUCAAAACUCAAGUGAUUUACAUUGAGGGGAGAGGCCUCUAUUUAUAGUAGAGCCUCCCCAAAUCCAACGGUACAGAUCAAGUACAUGAAUGGCUAAGAUCGAAUGGUAUCUACAAAUCAAAUCUCUAAGAUUUACAAAAUCAUAUCUCUAGGAGUACAUAUCAAAUCUACGAUUGUAUAUCUUUGAAGAUUAUGUUUCCAUAUGUGACGAACUUGUAGAUGGGCCUUCAAUCUCUUCAAGCAAUGGGUCAGUCCGAUCGGGCCAAAUGACCUCCUUCCCACUUGAUGGAUCACACGAAUGUGUCAUGGAUACGGGCUCCCAUGCGCAACCCAUGACAUUCUCCCCCACCGAAUCUAGCGACGUCCUCGUUGCAUCCUUCUUGUGGUAACGAUCUAUCUUGUCUUGAAAUUACCACAAGGCUUCAGCGGGUUCCCAACUUGUCUCACUAUCAGGGAAUCCCUUCCAUCGGACUAGGUAUUCAUGCCGCGGUCGAUAGUACUUUCGUCUGAUCACACGAUCCCCUUCUAUGUUCUCCACUUCUCUAUCAUAGGCGGUUUUUGCCCCCAUUGGUGCUCGUUUGGACUUGUUUCGGUUUGGGUCUUCUCCAUCUUCAUGGAAUGGCUUAAGCAUACUCACAUGAAACACUGGAUGGAGUUUGAGUUUUUCAGGCAACUCAAGCUUGUAGGCCACCUUGCCUACCUUCUUCAAAACUCAGAACGGCCCCUCAUAACGUCGAACAAGCCCUUUAUGCAACCCAUUGUGUCACAAAAUCUGGUGCAGUUUAGCAAGGACGGAGUCACCAACCUGAUAUUGCACAUCCCUUCGAUUCUGAUCCGCCCAUUUCUUGUUGCGCUUAUUUGCCUUGUGAAGACAAGCUCUAGCCAAAUCGUUUUACUCUUGCCAAUCUCUCGCAAAUUGAUAGGCUGCUGGAUUCGGUCCCCCAUAACGAGUCGCAACAGCAUUGGGUGUAAGUGGCUGUUGUCCUGUCACUAUCUCGAACGGACUCUGGUUUGUCGCCCCACUUCUUUACAAAUUGUAAGAAAACCGAGCCACAUCCAGCAACUUUGGCCAGUCCCUUUGUGUGGCACUCACAUAGUGCCGUAGAUAUAUCUCCAACAACGCGUUCACUCGUUCAGUUUGCCCAUCGGUUUGUGGAUGCAUGCUGGUUGAAAAGUUCAAGUUCGAGCCCAUUAACUUGAACAACUCCGUCCAAAAUCGUCCCGUGAAUCGCCCAUCUCGAUCGCUGAUGAUAGAUUGUGGCACUCCCCAAUACUUCACCACAUGUAUAAGAAACAAGCGAGCAGCCUCCUCAGCAGGACACUCCUUGGUUGUGGGGGUAAAAGUUGCAUACUUCGAAAACCUGUCCACCACAACAAAAAUGCUUGCAAAUCCAUCAGAUUUAGGCAAACCUACAAUAAAGUCCAUGGAUAAACUCUCCCAUGGGCGCUCCGGAAUAGGUAAAGGCUGUAGCAACCCAGAAGGAGCCUUCAACUCGAUUUUAUCUUGUUGGCACACCAAACAAGUUUUCGCAUAAGUCUCCACAUCGUCACUCAUGUGAGGCCAAUAAAAUCGAUCCUCCAAGAGAGCCAAAGUGUGGUGCUUGCCUGGAUGUCCAGCCCAUCUUGAAUCAUGACAUUCCUUCAUGACUUCCUUUUGUAAGUUCCCAUGUUGGGGCACAUAUAGACGUUGUCCUUGAGUAUAUAGUAAUUCUCCCUCGAGCCAAAAUCGCCUCGUUUUUGCCUCUUUAGCAAGCUCAAUCAAAUUUUUUACCGUGGAAUCGUGGGACAACCCUUCUUGAAUGCGCUCCAAUAAGGGACUAUUGGGUUGGCUUAUCGUUGCAAAUUCCAUCUUUCGGCUAAGCGCAUCAGCUACAAUGUUGGCACUCCCCGGCUUGUACUCCAUGCUAAAAUCAAACUCUGCUAGGAAAACCUGCCAACGAGCCUGUUUGGGGGACAACUUUUUCUGGGUUAGGAAAUAACUAUUUGUAACAUUAUCAGUGAAUACCAUGAACCUGGAACCCAGCAAAUAGUGCCUCUAUGUGCGCAAACAAUGCACCACAGCAGCCAUCUCUUUUUCUUGGACCGUGUAUCUCCGUUCUGUCUCAUUCAGCUUUCGACUCUCGAAAGCAAUUGGAUGCCCUUCUUGCAUCAAUACUCCCCCAAUUGCAUAGUCUGAAGCAUCCAUGCGUACCUCAUACGCCUUUGUAAAAUCCGGUAAAGCAAGUACAGGUUCACUCACCAUUGCUUGCUUUACUUGGUCAAAAGCUUUCUCACACCGAGAGUCCCAGUCCCAUACUUUGCCCUUUUUCAACAAGUCCGUCAAGGGUGUAGUGAUCUUGGAGUAGCCUUCAAUGAAACGUCGAUAGUAGUUUGCUAAACCAAGAAUGGACCGCAAUUCCGUUACCUUGGUUGGUGGCUCCCAAUCAGAAAUUGCUCAGACUUUGCUUGCAUCCGUUCGGAUCAUGCCACCACCUACAAUAUGGCCAAGAAAAGGCACCUCUCGUUGGGCAAAUGAGCAUUUUUCCUCUUUGACAUACAGCUCAUUUUCCCGUAGUACUUGGAACACCUCCCUCAGAUGUCCAAUGUGCUCCUUAAGCGUCUUACUAUACACCACAAUGUCGUCAAGAUAAACAACCACAAAGCGACCUAAGAAAGGUUGUAAUACCUUAUUCAUUAGGGUGCAAAAUGUUGCUGGAGCAUUUGUCAACCCGAACGGAAUCACCAAGAAUUCAAAAGACCCAUACCGAGUCACACAGGCUGUUUUGGGCUCAUCCCCUUCAGCUAUUCUCACUUGGUAGUACCCCGAUCGCAAAUCUAACUUAGUAAACCAUCUCGCACUACCAAGUUGAUCGAACAAAUCUGCAAUGAGAGGAAUGGGAUACCUGUUCUUCACAGUGAUCUUGUUUAAGGCCCUAUAGUCAAUGCACAAUCUUAAGGACCCAUCAUGCUUCCUUUGGAAUAACACCGGUGCUCCAAAUGGGGCUUUAGAAGGUUUAAUGAACCCGGCAUCUAGAAGUUCCCUUAACUGCUUCCUCAAUUCCUCCAACUCAGGCGGAGACAUUCGAUAUGGUGCCCUUGCUGGUGGCUCAGUAUUAGGCAACAACUCAAUCUUGUGAUCCACCUCCUUCUUUGGUGGCAAUGUCUUGGGCAACUCUGUGGGCAUUACAUCUUGAAAAGACUGCAACAACUGCUUCACUUCCUUUGGGAUUUCCCCCUCGAAUUUCUCCUCCACAUUGUUCCUUAAGGUGGCUAAAUAGGAGACUUCAUUUCUACGUACUCCUUUGGCAAAUUGGAUUGCCGACAAUGUUUUGCCUUCCAUGUUUCCCUUUCUUUUCAUUCGCACCAUAUAACGAUGGUUCAAAUCAGAGAUCAUCAUGUAGUUCUCGGAAGGAUGAAUAUACGCAUUAAGUCGGUCAAACAAACUCAAUCCUACCACAAAAUCAUAAUCAUCAAGUGAGAUUACCUUAAUGGUUGCCUUGCCUGUCCACUCGCCAAGUUUGAGUUCCACCCCUUUAGCCACACCCGUUAUGGGAAUACUUUCUGAGUUCACCGUUUUUAUUCGACCCGAAUCUUCCUCCACUUUGAGACCGAGUUCCUUUGCCAUCUCUUUAGACAUGAACAAAUCAGAUGCACCAGUAUCAACAAGGGCAUUCAAUUUUCUGUCUGCCACGAUGAUGUCCACAAACAUCAGCCCAUUACUCGUCUUGUCUUCAACACCGCCCAAUAUCGUACCAAGACUUUUGGUGUCAGGAUUGGCCUCUUCGCGUGCUUCCAUAGCAUUGAAAGCGGCCCUCUUUGGACAAACACUCAACCUAUGUGGACCUUGGCAAAGAAAGUAUCUCAUUGGCUCUUUCUUAUCCCCUGGUCUACCAUUAUAAGUCCUUGGGGCUUCGCCACUCCUUUCUGUUUGCUCUUUGUCUCCCCCACCAUUGCCUUUGGGUCUUGGCUUGGGUUUGGAAGCAUCAUUAUUGUCAAACUUUCUCCCACCAGCUUCGUAGAAGUUCUCUGUCUCAGCCAUAGCUACGGUCAAAUCGGUGAUGCCUAGGCGGCGCAACUCUUGCUUAGCCCACAUUCUUAGCCCAUCCUCAAACAUAUAAAAUGCUUCCUUUUCAUCCAAGUCUGAGAUCUGAAGCAUCAGCUCACUAAACUCCCGCACAUAAUCUCGAACAGUGCCUUGUUGCGUAAGCCGACGCAACUUAGCACGAGCUUCCUUUUCAACAUGCUGCAGAUAAAACUGCUUCUUUAACUCUCCUUGGAACUUCUCCCAAGUCCCAAUGGCCGUUCCUCCACGUCUCUCAUCCGUGGACCUACGUCGCCACCAUAAGAGAGCAACAUCAGUAAAGUAAAUCGAAGCAGUGUUUACCUUAGUGGCAUCAUCCUCAAUGCCCAUUGCUCGAAAAUAUUGUUCCAAUUCCCACAGGAAGUUGUCCACUUCUCUCGCAGACCUAGCACCCUUGAACUUCUCGGGUUUUGGAACAUCUACAUGACGUUGCUUCGGUCUUGAAGUCAACAUCCCAUUUCCCAGAGCGGCCUUACAAAUUGUGAGCUCCCCCUUAAGCUCAGCAAUCUCCUCUUUCAUGGCAGUCACCAGGGCCUCAAGGGCUUCGUCCCUUACCGUCAGCUUGUCCGAAGUGGAUCUUAAAGUGUCCAGCACGAAUACCUUGCUGUCUUCCCUCAGUUCCUCCAUACGGGUUAGGACCACUUCGAGUGUCUCCCUCAUGUCACCAACAGACUCCUCGAGAUUGACCACUCGAUUUUCCAAGCUCGACAACAUGUCCCUCGAUCGACUAGCCUUCCUGGCCCUCCCACGGGUCUCUAUUGGCUCAUUCUCACCAACUUCUCUCGACAUCCUUCAAUAGUGCUUUCGAAAGACUGGCUCGGAUACCUACUGUCACGGACUUAGGAUUUUUACCUCACAAUCCGUGCGGCCUUAGGCAGUUUCUUGCUUUAAAAAUGCCUAAGUCAGCCUAACUCCCACGAUUUGAGGAUUCAAUAGAAUUCCCCUUUGAAAACCAACACAAACAAAAGCGACUCAAAGAUUAAACAAAGGCGAACGAAGAACGAAAUAAGAAUAAGCCACGAAAUAUCAAGAACACAAGAGAGAAUAAUGUUUGAGUGAAUACUCUCAAGAACUCUGAUUAUUCCUUAAAACUCAAGUGAUUUACAUUGAGGGGAGAGGCCUCUAUUUAUAGUAGAGCCUCCCUAAAUCCAACAGUACAGAUCAAGUACAUGAAUGGCUAAGAUCGAAUGGUAUCUACAAAUCAAAUCUCUAAGAUUUACAAAAUCAUAUCUCCUAAGAUUACAUAUCAAAUCUACGAUUGUAUAUCUUCGAAGAUUAUGUUUCCAUAUGUGACGAGCUUGUAGAUGGGCCUUCAAUCUCUUCAAGCAAUGGGUCAGUCCGAUCGGGCCAAAUGACCUCCUUCCCACUUGAUGGAUCACACGAAUUUGUCAUGGUUGCGGGCUCCCCUGCGCAACCCAUGACACUAGUUUGCCGAUGGUGUCCGAGGCUCCCACACAUCCCAGCACCUAGGGGCCGAUGGUGGCCGAGGCUCCCGCACGACCAAGGGCCUAUUUUACCGAUGGUGCCCCAGGCUCCCGCACGACCAAG
rnacentral:lncRNA from 1 species